rnacentral:rRNA from 1 species
CCAAUAGCGUAUAUUAAAGUUGUUGCAGUUAAAAAGCUCGUAGUUGAACUUCGGGGUUAGUAGGUUGGUCAUGCCUCUGGUAUGUACUGGUCUCACUGAUUCCUCCUUCCUGGUGAACCUUAAUGCCAUUAAUUUGGUGUUUUGGGGAAUUUGGACUGUUACUUUGAAAAAAUUAGAGUGUUUAAAGCAAGCUAACGCUUGAAUACAUUAGCAUGGAAUAAUGAAAUAGGACGUUCGAUCCUAUUUUGUUGGUUUCUAGGAUUGACGUAAUGAUUAAUAGGGAUAGUUGGGGGCAUUAGUAUUCAAUUGUCAGAGGUGAAAUUCUUGGAUUUAUUGAAGACUAACUACUGCGAAAGCAUUUGCCAAGGAUGUUUUCAUUAAUCAAGAGCGAAAGUUAGGGGAUCGAAGACGAUCAGAUACCGUCGUAGUCUUAACCAUAAACUAUGCCGACUAGGGAUCGGAUGAUGUUAAUUUUUUAAUGACUCAUUCGGCGCCUUACG